CGACAACGCAGCCAACCAGCGUUUAGUUCUGCAGAGCCGCGGGGCGCGGGCGGCGAUGCAGGCUGACAGCAAGGAGGGAGUGGCGGAAGGGAGAAGGGGGCGCACCUGCAGGAAGCCAUGGUUGCCAAGGAAUGCUUCAGGGCCAACGGCAUCAGCGGCCGCCGCCUCAUCCACGCGAACUGCUCCAACCUGCCCGCCAUGGGCGUCACGGACUUCGGCCACAUGCAGGUGCAAAAGGGCCACUCGAUUUCAUUUCCUUCUUUUAUGCUUUGCUGGACACAAACAGGAGCUCUGUCUCUUCCUCAUUUUA